UUUUGAGGAUUGAUUUCCUUGGAGUUUUGGUGAGGAGUUGCAGUCAUUUACCAGGUAUGUUGUUGGAGUUUUGAUGAAGAAUUGCAGUCAUUUAUCAGGAUGUUAGGUUGUAUGGAUAAACUAAUUUAGUAUUUAAAACUCAACUUCCUUCAGGGUUUUUAUUGCUUGCCUGGUUGGAGCCCGAUUAAGUUUGCUGAAGAGAACAUCCG